rnacentral:lncRNA from 1 species
AAAAGAAGAAUUGAAUCCUAACAUAAUGGAUCAUCGUGUAAGCGUCAACAGUAUAUGAAAACGUGGAAAAUGUUAUAUGGGACUAAUUUUUGCUUUUCUUUCGUUUUGGCAGAAAGUUUUCAUUAUUUUUUUUAUCUUUUUAUUUUUAUUUAUUUUUUUAUAGAAAGUUUUCAUUAUAUAUUGUAAACUUUACUAUAAGAUAAUUACUAGAGAAUUUAACUAUAUCGUAAACUACGUACAAAUAUCGGCAUAUGCGAAAUGCGAUAUAUAUCACCUACCUAGAGGUGCAUUAUUCCACGUG